rnacentral:tRNA from 1 species
GGGGAUGUGGCUUAAGGGUACAACAUCUGCUUGGCUUGCACAAGGUCCCAGGUUCGAUCCCAGGUAUUUCCA